rnacentral:rRNA from 1 species
AGCAGCCGCGGUAAUUCCAGCUCCAAUAGCGUAUAUUAAAGUUGUUGCAGUUAAAAAGCUCGUAGUUGAAUUUCGGGGUUAGUAGGUCGGUCAUGCCUCAGGUAUGCACUGGUCUCACUGAUUCCUCCUUCCUGAUGAGCCGUAAUGCCAUUAAUUUGGUGUUGCGGGGAAUCUGGACUGUUACUUUGAAAAAUUAGAGUGUUUAAAGCAGGCUAACGCUUGAAUACAUUAGCAUGGAAUAAUGGAAUAGGACGUUCGAUCCUAUUUGUUGGUUUCUAGGAUUGUACGUAAUGAUUAAUAGGGAUAGUUGGGGCAUUAGUAUUCAAUUGUCAG